CACAACCUAUGGACAGAUGAAUUUCACCCUUCUGUCCGUAAUUCCAGAACCACUUCAACUCUUGUGGUUAGCUUUUUAAAGCAUUGGAAGGAGAACAUCACAGGAGGGUUUAAGCUAAGCAAUAGCACUCCUAGACCCCAAUGGAGAAUAUCAGGAUCUGGAGUCUUGUAUAAAAACACAACCAUGGUAACACUAUCUCAGAAGCCACCUGAGUAGUAAGUGGUUUUAAGCCACUAAAAAGACAGAAUGGUUUAUAUUUUAGUGUGGUUCAUUAAGCCAGUUAAUUACUUCUACUGCAGUAGUUCCAAAUGCCACCAAUCAGACUCAGGUCUCCUCCGUGCAAGGUGCUGUACAAAUACAAAGGAAGAUGGAAUCUACGCUCCAAUGAGCUGGGUUUGACCAAGUCUUUUGCCUGUUCAUCAACAAAAGGAAACUUUCUCUGUCAGGUCUCAGGGGCUUCACCACGAGAUCCUACAGAAUCCAGGCAUUUGUUUUCCAGAAAGAUGAAGUCUCAAGCCCGUGCAUUCAAGAAGUCCACAAAAUGUGACUUAUAUAGUGCUGCCUUCAGGGCUCUGCAGACAGAGCCUGAAAUUGCCUAAGGCCCAAAUCCUGCUCACAGCCCAACCAGGCAUGUGAGGAAAGGUUAAUUUCCAGUGCUCUCCCCAGGCCAUUCCACAGCCAUCACUCUAGCCUCAGGGCUGGACUUGGCUACCAGCCAUUCUAUCACUUGUGUGGGAAGAACAGAAGCAGCUGAUCCACCAGACCAAGUCUUCAAAUUCCAGUGGCAGCUCCCAUGCAGCUGGGCUCUACAAUUGACAGGUGUGCACAUCUCCAGCAAAGGCUGCCCAAAAAUCCUGCCAUUGCCACCCAUCAGCCACAAAGGGCUCUGCAAGAUGGCCCUCUCCCCAUCCCGGAGUGGUUUGCUGGAUAAAGGCCUGCUACAGCAAACUAAAGGCACGUUCUGGCCAGUGAUCUGAAGGCUUCUCAAAGAUUGAUUAAACUCAAAACUCCUUCUCCGCUCUUGCAUAAAGAAGUCUCCAGCGGCACUCAGCCAGCUGAGGUACUUGGUCAUUUCUGGCAAAGGAGGGAAGAAAAUGUGGUUCCAUGAAAUGCAAGUCGGGAAGCUAAAAACAGCAGCAACACAAAUAAAUGUUUAGUCUGUCUUCCCACUAUGACAGCAUAGAGCCAGUGGGCAUAAUAUAAAGUCAGGUAUGGUCCAGAUAGUCUCCCUUGACAGGAUGUACCUUGGAGAGGGGAGGAGAGAAAAUCAUGGCUCCAGGCGCAGCCUUUCAGCAGCAAGUUUCAAUAGAAGGAAAACUAGUGCCAUCUGUUUCCCAGCUGAUGAACAGCCAGCAACAGUAUCACCAUAUAUCCUUCCUGUAUUGAGGAAAAAGUUACUAGAGAAGCCACAAGUAUAACAGAUUUCUCUGCGACAGCUGUGUCCAAAUGCAGUAUUAUAAAUGGAAGGCGUCAGGGCACAGUCACAUUUAAUCCUUACAAUUGCCAUUUGAACACUGCACACCAAGCGCACAUAGAUCACAUAAGAGUGCAAAGGCGCGUACCAGCAUGGCUAUACUUAAAGCAGUGUCUGCUUUUCCAUUCUAAGCCAUAAUUAUGUGCCAAGUCAUUGCUGAAACCUAAUUUCUAUAGGAGCGAGGCAUGUUUAAGGACUGUAUAACUAGGCCCUUAUAUACUUUCUCUUGUAAAGUUUUGUAUCCUAAGAUCCCAAAUUAGAAACCUUGACUUAGAUAUUUAGCUAGUCUAGUGCAAAUGCUGAGGAUCUGGCCUUGAAUGUGCAGACUGAAAUGUAUCCAUAUCAGACAGACAUUCAGCUGCUGUAAACAGCCCCAAAGUUAAAGGAGAGACAUCAGUUUUCACCAGCUGAGGAUUUGACCUAUUAUAUUUAAAUCCAUUUAUACAUCAGAUUGGGUCUUUUAAACAGCCAGCCACGUAAGAGUCAGAAGGGGUUGCUACACGGCAAGGAAUUCUGGCUGAGGCAAGACCAGAUUCCUUCUUGAUCGCUGAGGGAACCCACCUGUGCUUCAGAAGCAAUGGUGGAAGUAGACUGGUGCAGGUGUGGGAGGGCUCACUGUACCAGCCAUAGAGAAGGGAGAGCCUUGUGAGAGUCCCCUCCCCCUUUUUUUGGUUAUAAACAAAGACAGAGCUGCAUGCACACCACACUCAUCUACUUGAAUUCUUGCUCAGCAGCAAAUCUGACACAAUCUGAAAGGAUGCAGGGUGCCCUCUCUUCUACAACUGUGCUGGCUGAGUUGGGGCUGAGGUAAAGAGGUGGGGACUGGGCCAAUCUCAGACCCCUUUGCAGAAGGCUAGCAUCAUGAGAAGCACUUUCAGGCAACAGGGGCUCUGUUUUCUAACAGAUAUGGGGCUAACCCACAAAAUAGGGGAAGAUAGGAAGAAAAGACUCGAAGAUUUAUGGAUGGCUGGGCACAAAGCUAACCUACACAAAGCUACUUCCUCUUUCAUGGACCUGUCAGGACAAGAACUGAGGGAUCCGAGUUCCCCCUGCAAAAGGUGAUGCUGACACUUCUCUGCAAGAGAACUAAAAUGCUCACUCUGUGUAAAAUGGAAAUAAAAUCGGAACUCUAAUCUCUCCAAGAGACAGAACUA